UACGGAGGGUGCAAGCGUUAUCCGGAUUCACUGGGUUUAAAGGGUGCGUAGGCGGGCAGAUAAGUCAGUGGUGAAAUACCUGAGCUUAACUCGGGAACUGCCAUUGAUACUAUUUGUCUUGAAUGUCGUGGAGGUUAGCGGAAUAUGUCAUGUAGCGGUGAAAUGCUUAGAGAUGACAUAGAACACCUAUUGCGAAGGCAGCUAACUACGCGAAUAUUGACGCUGAGGCACGAAAGCGUGGGGAUCAAACAGG
rnacentral:rRNA from 1 species